GAUGAACGCUGGCGGCGUGCUUAACACAUGCAAGUCGAACGGAAAGGCCGAAGCUUGCUUCGGUACUCGAGUGGCGAACGGGUGAGUAACACGUGGGUGAUCUGCCCUGUACUUCGGGAUAAGCUUGGGAAACUGGGUCUAAUACCGGAUAUGACGAUCUCUUGGAUGGGGUUGUGGAAAGCUUUUGCGGUAUGGGAUGAGCUCGCGGCCUAUCCGCUUGUUGGUGGGGUAAUGGCCUACCAAGGCGUCGACGGGUAGCCGGCCUGAGAGGGUGUACGGCCACAUUGGGACUGAGAGACGGCCCAGACUCCUACGGGAGGCAGUAGUGGGGAAUAUUGCACAAUGGGCGCAAGCCUGAUGCAGCGACGCCGCGUGGGGGAUGACGGCCUUCGGGUUGUAAACUCCUUUCGCAAUCGACGAAGCCUUUUGGUGACGGUAGGUUGAGAAGAAGCACCGGCUAACUACGUG
rnacentral:rRNA from 1 species